rnacentral:tRNA from 1 species
GGGGUUGUGGCUCAGUGGCAGAGUGCUUGCCUAGCAUGUAUGAGGCACAGGUUCGAUUCUCAGCACCA